rnacentral:lncRNA from 12 species
AAAGAAAAGAAAAGAAAAGAAAAGAAAAGAAAAGAAAAGAAAAGAAAAGAAAAGAAAAGAAAAGAAAAGAAAAGAAAAGAAAAGAAAAGAAAAGAGAAAAAGAAAAAGAAAAAAAAAAGAUUUCUAUAAGAAGCAAACCCGCAGUGUUUGGGAGAAACGGGGCCGGAGGCUUCUGCUGGGGUGAACAGCCAGGACAGGCAGUGAAGGCUCCCGUGCCGCCCAUCCGCUGCUGCUGAAGCUGAUUCGGCUCUUCUGCGGCACCUUCCUGUCCGAGGGAGCGGGACACGGUCCCGGAGCCUCCCUGCGCACGCUGCCGCCUCCGCACCUGCGGAGUGCCGUCGGAAAAAAUCUGGUCUUUUACUUAAGUAUUCGAAUUUCAAGGUACACCGAGGCUUGGCCGUAGUGGCGUGGCGGUGCGGUGCCGGCAGUGCGGUGCGGUGCCGGCAGUGCGGUGCGGUGCGGACAGAUGCCAUGCGGAGCGGUGCCGGCAGCGCUGCUCUGUGCGGUGCAAUGCGGAGCGGUGCCGGCCGGGGGGGGGGGGGGGGGGGGGGGGGGGGGGGGGGGGGGGGGGGGGGGGGGGGGGGGGGGGGGGGGGGGGGGGGG